GGUAAAAUAGGAACUCCAAAGAAUAAUAAUCUGAAUUUUUUACCAAAAUUUUUCAAAAAAGACACCAACUCUGGCAAGCUUUGUGUACUGGCCAUAACAGGUGUAAACUUAAUUCUGGACAGGGAGGGUUAUCAAUUUUUUCUUCAGGCUAGAUCAAAAAGCCCUCAAAACCAUCCUCUCCUUGUCUUCUCUCUGAUCCCAAGAGGACUAACUCUCUUCUGCAAUGACUUAGAGUCCCCAUCACCUUGAUCCUGUAUAGAAGCUUUGAUUGGAUGUCAUGAAUGGACUCAUGCCCAGAAAUAUGUAUCUACCAUUGGAAUAUACACUGGCCCCUGUGAAUUGGAUCAGCACCAGUCAGUUUCCCAUGACUGAUUAUCCUCUGCACACUGAGAAGCUGAGCUUCUAGGAUUGCAAAUUCAAGACAAGAUCCUAGGAAAUAGUGCUGGCUGUGACCACUGGGAAUCCUGCACCCCAGGAAGUAGAAGUCAUGAAGGUGACUGUAGAAGUCCUGCAUCCGGGAGAAACCAGUCCUACCUAGCAGCAGAAGCAAGAGCUCUCUGCUAUGGCCUAGGAAAGCAGUAGAAGAUGGCCCAAGUGCUUGAGCCCCUGCACCCACAUGGGAGACCUGGAAGAAGCGCCUGGCUCCUGGCUUCAGAUCGCCUUCGGAUCCAGCUGUUGUGGCCACUUGGGAGUGAACCAGCGGAUAGAAGACCUCUGUCUCUCUCCUUCUGUGUGUGUGUAACUCUGCCCCUCAAAUAAAUUAAAAAAAAAGAAAAAAGAAAAGUAUAGGUCCAUAAAAAUUAUCCUUCCCACCUAUUCCUUGAAAUUUGCCUAGUCUGUUCUCUAGAACUUCUCCCCUUAGACCACUAGGUGGAGAAAAAGUAGGAGUAGGAAGCAAGCAGUAUUGACAGAGCCCAACACAAGGACUACUAAGACAGCUUUGCCAUUAGUUAAGUUGCUGUUUUGAUAUUAAUGGUCAAAGUCUCUUUUUCCAAGAAGAGUGAAUGAACUAUCUUUUUUUAAGAUAUAUUUUUAAUUUAUUUGAAAGGCAGGGUUACAGAGAGAAGGGGGUGGAUUAUGACCUGGUCAAACUGAUUAGAUCCAAAUUUUUAGCUUAUUCUAUCCUGCUGAGCUUUUGCAAGCAUCAAAAACAAUAAGUUAGCACUUUCCCAACAAAUACUAAGCAUGAUCAGUCAACAAGGA